ACCCGUCGCCCUCCAGCCCACAGUUUCCCUUGCCAGCGCCCUCGUUCGGCAUAGACUUCGUGUUUCAGACUCCUCGCCCGCAACGCUUACCUGCUACGCGAGGCCAGGAGGCGCUGCACCCGCCGCUGGACCGCCCACAGAGACCAAGCAGCCAUGAUGCAGACCGGAGAGGAUCGGUGCGGCGCACGCGCACUCGCUCCAAGUGAAGCGCGCGCUCGAAAACCACGCCUCUGGAUAGCCUUAAGAGCAAUUCCCGCUUUGGACGUCCGGACAGGAACGCUAAACUUCCGGUUAUCUAAUGAGCCACGCUGAUCUUGGUACCGAACGCAACACUUCCGGUUGCUGGCUCUUUGGUUUGGUAGUGUGGGUACCUAGGUACGGAGGAUUGGUACUAGGCACGGAACGACGAACAAAAGCGGCUGAAUCUUCAUAGAGCUUUCGUGAAGUUAUAAACUAUAGAUACAAGCGCAGUAUAAAAUCGAAAUAUGUCCAGGGUUUAAAGAUGAGGGACGGAGUGCUGCGGAGGCCUAGAAUACAAAUAUGUCCGAGUAUGGAAAGUUUUCCCAAAGGAAAUGAUAUAGAGCUGAGAGUAAAAGAAUUGCUUUUCUAGGAUUACAGUAGUCACCUAACAACCCAUGCAAGAAUCAGGUCUUACCAUAACUACCAUACAGUUAAAAUCUGGAUCAUAAAUACAACAUGGAGGUUGUGUGCUCUGGGGGAAGCCAGUUGUCACAUCAUGAGGAAUUGCAACCCUAUGAAGUGGUGCCCAUUGCAAAGAACUGAAGCCUCCUUCCAACACCAGCACAAACUUGCCUGGCAUGCGAGUGAGCCAUUUUAGAAACAGAUCCUCCAGUCUGGCAAGCCUUCAGAUGACUUCAGGUGAUGGGACAAUUCUUGACUGCAGCCUCAUGAGAGGCUCUCAGCCAAAACUACAUAACUCAUUUACUCAGGAUUCCCAAACAGCAGAAACUGAACCACUAAAUUUUGGGUAUUUUGUUAUAUUGUGAUAGAAAAUUAAUAUAUGAUAUUGUGCAAGUCUCUUUUGCUGUAGACUGAUUAUGAACCUCCCAAAUUCCUAUUUGAGGUGGGUCUUUUGUAGGUGGGUAGGUCAUGAGAGUGGAGCCUUCAUAAAUGGUAUUAAUGCCUUUACAAGAGACCCCAGAAAGUAAAAAAAAAAUGGCUAUCUAUGAAGCAGAAAAUGGGUCCUCACAGACAGAAAUCUGCUGGCGCUUUGGACUUCCCAGCCUCCAAACUAUGAGAAAUAAAUUUCUAUUAUUUAUAAGUCAUUCUGCUUAUAGUAUUUUGUUAUAGCAGCCUA